rnacentral:rRNA from 1 species
UACAGAGGUCCCAAGCGUUGUUCGGAUUCAUUGGGCGUAAAGGGCGCGUAGGCGGUCGUGACAAGUCACUUGUGAAAUCUCCGGGCUUAACUCGGAACGGUCAAGUGAUACUGUCGGACUAGAGUACAGAAGGGGCAACUGGAAUUCUCGGUGUAGCGGUGAAAUGCGUAGAUAUCGAGAGGAACACCUGCGGCGAAGGCGGGUUGCUGGGCUGACACUGACGCUGACAGCGCGAAAGCUAGGGGAGCGAAGCGGG